UACGUAGGUCCCGAGCGUUGUCCGGAUUUACUGGGUGUAAAGGGCGUGCAGCCGGAGAGACAAGUCAGAUGUGAAAUCCACGGGCUCAACCCGUGAACUGCAUUUGAAACUGUUUCCCUUGAGUGUCGGAGAGGUAAUCGGAAUUCCUUGUGUAGCGGUGAAAUGCGUAGAUAUAAGGAAGAACACCAGUGGCGAAGGCGGAUUACUGGACGAUAACUGACGGUGAGGCGCGAAAGCGUGGGGAGCAAACAGG
rnacentral:rRNA from 1 species